UACGGAAGGUCCGGGCGUUAUCCGGAUUUAUUGGGUUUAAAGGGAGCGCAGGCCGGGUGCUAAGCGUGCUGUGAAAUGCUGGGGCUCAACCGCAGCAGUGCAGCGCGAACUGGCUCUCUUAAGUGUGCGGUAGGAAGGCGGAAUUCGUGGUGUAGCGGUGAAACGCUUAGAUAUCACGAAGAACCCCGAUUGCGAAGGCAGCUUUCCGCAGCACUACUGACGCUGAGGCUCGAAGGUGCGGGUAUCGAAC
rnacentral:rRNA from 1 species